rnacentral:lncRNA from 8 species
AUGAUGAGUUGGUUAUUUGAAUCAGCUGUGCAUUGGGCACAAACCAAAAUCCUGCACCCAGAAAACAAAUCCACAAACACAAUCCUUUAUAAAACAUGCAGGAGGGAAAACACUGGAAAGUCAAGAAACAUUCAGAGUCUGGGGACUACUGUCCCACCAUGUAUUGGGCCUUCAUCUGUCCUAUGUCCCACUGUUCAGCCUACAUUCUUAUCUCCUGUGUGUAUUAUCUCAUGUCUUCUCAUGUGUCUUAACUGGGUAAAAUGCUUUCCACACUGGGAACAGUGAUGAGGCUUCUCUCCUGUGUGUAUCCUCUCAUGUCUUCUCAGGUCCCCUAUCCAGGCAAAACUCUUUUCACAUUGGGAGCAGUGGUAGGGCUUCUCCCCUGUGUGUAUUCUCUCGUGCUGUUUCAGUUGUCCUUUCAGCUUAAAACUCUUUCCACACUGGGAGCAGUGAUAAGGCUUCUCUCUUGUGUGUGUCCUCUCAUGUCUUUUCAGGCUCGGUAACAAGGAAAAACUCUUUCCACACUGGGAGCAGUGGAAAUGCUUCUCUCGCUUCUCCCCUGUGUGUAUUCUCUCAUGCACUCUCAGGUAUUCUUUAAGGUUAAAACUCUUUCCACACUGGGAGCAGUGAUGAGUCUUAUUUCCUGUAUGUGUCCUCUCAUGUCUUUUCAGGCUCGCUAACAAGGAAAAACUCUUUCCACACUGGGAGCAUUGGAAAGGUUUAUCGCCUGUGUGUGUCCUCUCAUGUCUUUUCAGGCACCCUGAUGAGGAAAAUCUCUUUACACACAGGGAGCAGGGGUAAGGCUUCUCCAUUGUGUGCAGUAUCUUAUGCUCUUUCAGGCUUCCUAACUGGGUAUAUCUCUUUCCACACUGGGAGCAGUAGUAAGGCUUCUCUCCUGUGUGUAUUCUCUCGUGUAUUUUCAGGCUCCCUAUAUCUGUAAAACUGUUUUCACACUGGGAGCAGUGGUAAGACUUCUCCCUUGUGUGAUUUAUCUCGUGUAUUUUCAAGCUCCCCAACACGGUAAAACUCUUUUCGCAAAGGGAGCAGCGAAAAGGCUUCUCCGCUGUGUGCAAAGUCUUGUGGCCUUUCAGGUCCCAUAACUGGUUAAAACUCUUUCCACAGUGGGAGCAGUGGUACGGCUUUUCUCCGGUAUGUAUUCUCUCAUGCCGCUUCAAGUUUCCUAACUGGUUAAAACCUUUUCCACACUUGGAGCAGUGGUACGGCUUCUCUCCUGUGUGUAUUCUCUCAUGUGUUUUCAUGUCCCCUAACUGGUUAAAACCCUUUCCACAGUGGGAGCAGUGGUGUCGUCUUAAUGGUUUGGACGUCUCUGGUUCCUCUGAGUCUGGUCUUUCUCCUGCAAAAGACAGUGUUUAUUUAAAUAGAGACCUGAAUGAAACCUCCACUACUCUCUUGCGAGGAGGUUGAAUUCAAAUCAGAUCCCUCAAUAUUAUUAUUUGACCCUGCUGGUCAUCUAUGAUCGUUUGAACAUCUUGGCCAUGUACUGUUAUAAUCUCCACCCGGCCCAACCAGAAGAGGACUGGCCACCCCUCAG